GCCAAGACAGCGUGGCUGUGCAGUGGACAGACAGGAGGACAGCUGGAAGACAAGAGAAACAUUGUCAAAGAGUCUGUGUGUGAGCAGGGAGCUUACGCCCUGUUUUAUAGGGCUUGAGGGCAGAGAAUGAGAUAAUACAAGUUACUUUCAUAAAGAAUACCUUUCCUUUCUUAGAGGAAAAUAACUUUAAUCGGAACGACACAGACAUGAAGAGAGCAGUUGGGAGCCAGAGGCGACCAAGAGCAAUCAGUCAAUAUUAGACCUUAUAAACUGCGAAGUACCUCAUUUAUGACUUCAUUCGAGGGUACAAGUUUGGCUUCAUUUUGAUAUCUGAGCUUCUGACAUUGAGGGCACGCUGCUGUGGCAGAGAAUGGAGUGGCAGGGAGCAGAAACGUCAAAAGCUCUGAACAGGGAACAGGAACAAGAGGAAAUGACUUGGUGAUACAGAAGACACUUGUGUGGCAAAUAUCUCCAAAGCAUAUACUAAGAUUACUUAGGGAAUCUCAUAUACCUGUGAUGGUUUGGCUUGGUUGGGGCAGUUUGUUCUGGGCCAGGGCUUUGAGCAUGUGAGGCAAAAAAAUCCUACCUCUGAGCUACUUUGGAGAGUCUCGAUAUGUGACAUUAAAAAUAGGUCUGACUCUCCAAA